CGACUGAGCCCCCCAGGCGCCCCUGCUCAGUCACUUCUGAUGGAGCGGGUGCGGUCCCCAUUGCAGAGCAAUCAGAUUUCCUCAAGUUCAUGCCAAGGCCAGGGUGAAGAGUGGGGAAAGAACAAGGCAAAGGGACCAGUUGUCUCACACAAUUUGUACUGGGCUUUCGUUCUUACGACAAAGUAACUUAUGACCAUUAGAGAAACUUGAGACCGUCCAGUCAUGAGCCCGAAGGAAACGGCACCUGUGGUCAAGUGUGCGCAGGCGCCUCCAGAACUGCCCACCCGGCCCCUCUGGUACAUAUCCUUCCCGGCUCCUGUUCUCUCUGCUUCUGCACAAAGAACGUGCACGAUUAUGAAACUUCUCCUAUCACACGGACGCCUUCCGGGGUCCCAGCACAUCGACCCACACCCCCAUCUCCCCCCAACAUUCCUCAGGGGAAGGUUUAGACAUACAGAAAAGAUGUUGAGAAUUUUCCAGCGAACUCUCAAAAACCCACCACGUGAAUUUUCCCGCCGACAUGUUGCGGGACUUGCUCUAUCGUGUUUCCGUCCAUCAGCCUGUUUGCAACCAGGCAGAUGCAGCGGCCGGAACCGUCCCCGCCUGUCCGGGCCUAUGGACAGCCACAGUCCAGUCUCUACCGCCAGUCAAAGGAAGCCGGGUCAAAGCUUUUCCGACGGUGGUGGUAGACACCUUACUGCCCUCCCUCAAACCCCGGCCGCGAUUGAGGCGCGGCAGCCACACGGCCGGGUGUCCGUCCCAGCUCUGCAAAAUGCCCAAAACUCCGCGCUGACAUCUCCCCAUUCCAUGAUGCCAAGUGUUUUGACUGUUCCCUGUGUGCUGGAUCCCAUGGGCCAACACACCUCGGCAAAUAAAACAGACCAAAUUCCUUCCCCUCAUGGCCCUUCCGGGGAGGGAAACGAUUGAAACAAAGUAACGCAGUAAAGCAGAGUGUGUGGCCAAGGAUUAGUGCUGUGGAAGAGGUAAAGCCGGGAAGGGGGGGGUGGCAGUUCAAACAGGGUGGCCGACGAAGGUGUCACUGAGGCGACGUCUGAGCAGAGAGGCCUGAAGGAAGUGAGGUUGAGCUGUGCGGGGACCCAGGGGAAGAGCAUUCCCGGCCAAGGGAACAGCAUUUCCGACAGAGGGAACAGCACAUGCAAAGCCCCUGAGGUGGCGGCUAACUGGAGUGUUCAAAGAUGAGUAGGAUCCCGUGGAUUCAGAGCCAAGGGGGGAGUAACGGUGUGGGCAGUGGUACCUGCAGCCAGCUCCCGGGGCCUGUGGCCUGGCACGCACUUGGGGUCUACGCUGAGUGACGUGGGAGCCCCAGGAGGGCUCUCAGCAGUGCGGGGUGACCAACGACUUCGUUCUAACGGGAUGUCCCCGGCCACUGCGGCAGAGGCGGGAGCCCUGUGAGAAGGCAGCAGGAGCGGGCCAGGAGCAGGGGGAUCAGCUCCAGGGGUGCCCGGGGCGGACGGCGGAGUGCUCAGAGUCUGGAGAAGUUUCGAAGGAGGGGCGGACGGCCCCUGCUGACAGGCUGGGUGGGGGCACGAGAGGAAGACGCGGGGGGUUUCGGGGCUUCUCUCGGCUUAGCUCAGAGACGGCGGCGUGAGCCUCAUACAGUCAGCUCACAGCUGCCGCCUCCUCACCGUCUGUCUCCCAGGACCCGGGGUCCCCUGCCACCCUCUGCUGAGCCCCAGGGCUCACGCCUCCUGAUCCACACCGUGGACGCGUCAAUCAACGCCACUUUCAUCUGCCGUGCCACCAACGCCCUAGGGACUGGCCAGGCAGAACUGCCCGUCCUGGUCAGAGCAGACUCUCCGAGGGAAGAGCCACGGGGAGGCAUGUCCACCACCAUCACCACCAUCAUCGUGAUAGCAGGAUUCGUGGCCAUAGCAGUCGUGGCAGUGCUGAUUUACUUCUGGUUCAGACGCUCCCGUCAGUGCCAAAACAGCACCCCUGCGAAUGGGAUGAUCGCCUACACCGUGGUGGUGGACGCUAACAGCAGCUCUUCCCAGGACCCGCCCCCAGAGAGCUCGAGGUGACCGCGAGGUGACAGUGUUGUCAUCGUCAUCGGACUGCUGGAGAGAGAGACUGGGGUGGGGAGGACCGGGGCCUCGCCGCCCGGCGCUGCCCCAGUGGAGGAAGGCUCCCUCCGAAGGACGGGCCACCUUCCUCAUGCCAGGGGCCUGAGAAUGUCCCCUCUGCCCCGCUGUGCCGUGACUGGUCCCGGCGUCCCCGCCGCCUCUCUCCGGUUCAGGCAUUCAACUGGAAGGACUCACAGACUCCCAGAAACGGUGACGCUCACGGGUUCGGGUCCUGAAGGCAGGAGUGUGCGAGUCAGGUCACCCACGCCCCGCGGGCACCGGCCCGAACAGACCCCAGACCCCGAGGCGGCUGCCAGUCCUCUCGCACGAGCAGCACCGGUUUCUCCCAGCGAUGACGGCGUGUGACAACACAACAGGGUCCUGCCACCCAGGGAGGGACACCCGAGUUUGGA